rnacentral:misc_RNA from 1 species
AAGUCGUAACAAGGUUUCCGUAGGUGAACCUGCGGAAGGAUCAUUACAGAGUUCCUGCCCUUAUGGGUAGAUCUCCCACCCUUGCUUAUAUACUAUGUUGCCUUGGCAGGCCGUCUCUCAGAGCCGCCGGCGCCAGCUGGCGAGUGCCUGCCAAAGGACCUUAAACUCUGCAUCAUUGGUGUCGUCUGAGUAAAACUAUAAUAUUUUAAAA